rnacentral:rRNA from 1 species
GAUGAACGCUAGCUACAGGCUUAACACAUGCAAGUCGAGGGGAAACGACAUCGAAAGCUUGCUUUUGAUGGGCGUCGACCGGCGCACGGGUGAGUAACGCGUAUCCAACCUGCCCACCACUUGGGGAUAACCUUGCGAAAGUAAGACUAAUACCCGAUGAUAUCCCUAGAAGACAUCUGAAAGGGGAUUAAAGAUUUAUCGGUGAUGGAUGGGGAUGCGUCCGAUUAGCUUGUUGGCGGGGUAACGGCCCACCAAGGCGACGAUCAGUAGGGGUUCUGAGAGGAAGGUCCCCCACAUUGGAACUGAGACACGGUCCAAACUCCUACGGGAGGCAGCAGUGAGGAAUAUUGGUCAAUGGGCGAGAGCCUGAACCAGCCAAGUAGCGUGCAGGACGACGGCCCUAUGGGUUGUAAACUGCUUUUAUAAGGGAAUAAAGUGAGUCUCGUGAGACUUUUUGCAUGUACCUUAUGAAUAAGGACCGGCUAAUUCCGUG